rnacentral:sRNA from 1 species
AGUGGAAGCUGAGUUAGAGCUUAACAGCGUAAUUCCACCGCCCGACAAGAUCGAAGAGG